ACCCUGAUGCACCAUUUCCCCGGUCCACCUAGCUUCUCUGUCACCUAGCUGAUGAUUGUCACAGAGCUCACUCCUGAACACAACAGCCAUAGAAAACCAAAAUGCUACCUCUUAGCCUCCUCAACCGGAGCAGGGAAUUGUGGCGCCUCUGGGAGAAGAGGAUGUCGGCGGGAGGACCUCACCGCUGUGGGGAGAGCGGCUUCUGCAGGGAGGAGCUGGAAUAUAGCCUGGAAAGUGACGUGGGAAAAUACGGGAAUUGGAGCACGAGUGUUCAGAGUCACAUCACAAAUUUACCUGAAGCCAAUCAAUUAAUCUGUUACUCAGUUUCCCGAGUUGUACUAUGUGCUAUUGGAAAUUGUGUAAGGAACAAAUAGAAAAUAAAUGUUAUAAAGAACUAUGGCCUCAGCAGUCAUCCAAAGUUGAUUAUGACCUUUGUAAACAUGUUUCGUUUCUCCAUUUCUGCAGAGUCUCCACUGAUAUAGGAAUUUAGAGCAUAAAACGUGGUCUGCUGUUCAAUUUGGACCAGCGGGUCUGUGUCUGUAUCUGGGAUCACCUGUAUGAAAGUGUGGAAGAGUCGGCUCAAUGAAUUUCAGGAGAAAAAGAAAUUUCUUCUGGGUGGCAAGAUAAUUCCACCACCUGCCCUUGAUGCCUUCUAUGUAUUAACAUGAGAGCGAGCAUCCUUCCUGGUUUUUGGUUUUCUUUCCAUAAUGAAAGGUACAGCUAACACUGGAAAUAUUUCCGGGGCAAAGUAACACAGUAUCCUAAGUUCUCAAAAGGAUGCAGGAGUCUUAGAUCUUCUGAGGAGAGCAGGCCGUAGGAGGACAACACUGAAGAUGUUUGGGGAAAGAGUGGGGAUACCUGUGGGAAAGGAAGGACUCAUGAGGAGAGGAAGCAGAGCAUGAAGGUCAGGGGACUCACGGUGUCACUUUAUCAAGCGUGAUAUCAAGGUAGCGUGAGCUACCUGCUGGGUGUCCACCACCGCGAUCUUAGAUUUCGCUGCGAGUCAUGGGGCUAAUGCCCCUCCCUCCCUACGUCCUGCUGCUCUCUUAGGCUGUGUCCCAAGGGCUGCCCGCCGCACUUUGAGCAGGAGGAAGCCAUUAUAUUAAACCCCUCGGUUCUGCUCAUGCAUCCCUUAGACUGGUUCUGAAUUAUCUUUGAGGUAUCAGGUCCUAGCUGGGCUUGGUGCUAGGGACCCUGAGACAAACUAGACCGACACGAUUCCUGAUCUCUCGGAGCCUCCUGUCUGGUGGCAGAAACAGCUGUUAGUAUUCUCGACUGACACUUCAUGUGUUGUUCCAAGCCCUUUGUCGCAUGGACUCAUUUUGUCUUCACAGUGGCCUUGCAGAACGUGUCACAGAUGAGGAAACUGGACCACAGAGCAUUUGUGCAACUGACUCCGAUAUCUUUCGCCAUUUGUCUUCUUGUGCCUUCUUGUUGCGAGCAGCGUCAACUGCCUUGAGGCUACUGGCCGUGUUCAGACGAACGCUCUGUGCUCCCACCUCACGCUUGGGUGCCAGAGCCAACUGUGGGGAGAGGAACGGAGCUGCCCCCCCACCUGAGACAAAAUAAGUCUUACCCCUGCACCCAGGGAUGGAGACGUUUGCAGCCACGUGGCUUCAGCGGGCUAGAGAAGCGCAUUAGGAUUCUGUCAAAAAAGAAGGAAGCGAUGAUGAGUAGGAAGUGGAGAACGCCCAGUGCAGUCUCUGACUAACUUCGUGUGUGUGUGUGUGUGUGUG